AGGGACGAAGUAUUAUGUACAUUUUAUUUACACUAAAAAAGAUUCCAGAUUGGAACGUUCCUA
rnacentral:tRNA from 1 species